rnacentral:rRNA from 1 species
AUGGAGGUUGCCAUAUCUGCAGUCACAGGUGAACUAGUGAGUCGUUUCAUCUCCUUCCUGAAAAACAAGUAUCACUCCUUGAGCCAUGCACAAUCAGAGAAGAUGGUGGAGAGAUUGCAGCACCUCCUGAUGAGAGUCAGCAUCGUCGUCGAGGAAGCGGAUGGGCGGUACAUAACCAACUCCGGGAUGCUGUUGCAGCUCAAGAUGCUCUCAGGGGCCAUGUAUAAUGGAUAUCGCGUGUUGGACACCUUGAGGUACCAAAACCUCCAGGACAUUGCAGGCUAUGAGAAGGUUAGCAUCAAUGACUCAUCUAGCAGCAGCUCGUAUUUAGCCAUUCCUUUCAAGCGUUCUCGAACAAAAACUGAGAAGGAUGACAAGGCCAUGCGCCUUGAUACAGAUGGUGCUUUGGAAAGCUUAGAAAUUGUUGUGGCUAACAUGGUAGAAUUUGUUGUGCUUCUGGGUGGAUGCGAGCGCAUGUCUCGUAGGCCAUAUGAUGUUUAUCUUUACACCAACAACUUCCUAUUCAGCAGACAUCAUGAAAAACAAAGGCUCUUGAACUUCUUGUUGGGGCACAAUGACUCUCCUGGUGAUCAUGCACUGGCAGUUCUCCCAAUCAUAGGUGGUGUUGGAGUUGGGAAGAAAACAUUGGUUGCUCAUGUGUGUAGCGAUGAUAGGGUCCGCUCACGCUUCUCCUCUAUUUUGCACUUGAAUGGAGAUAGCCUAUUGACAAUACUUGACCAUAGAAGGACCAUGUUUCGGAUGACAUUGGUAGUUAUUGAGUUUGCUUGUGAUGUAAGUGACGAUGACUGGAAAAAGUUUCACUCAUUUCCAAUAAGAAUCAGCAGAGGAAGCAAGAUCAUCAUUAUAAGUAAACUUAAAACAUUAGGCCGGUUUGGAUCAGUGCAGCCUAUUUUCCUAAGUGUUCUGUCUUAUGACGAGUUGAGGUACCUUUUCAAGACACUGGCAUUCGGGAGCGUAGACUUUGUAGAGCAUCCACGACUAGUACAAAUAGCAGAUGAGUUUGCCAAGGAGUUGCACAGUAUGCAAGGCACACUUGUUGCAACAAAUAUGUACGCAGAUGUGUUGAGAAGGAACCUCGAUGUCCAGUUCUGGCUUUGCAUAUUGGACAAGGGAAGAAGAUUUAUUAAAAGAAACCUCUCCAUAUAUGGUGUGCACCCAACCACACUUCUAGGACAAGGCCAUCCAGUGGACAUAACGGAUGUUGCUUUACAUCCACUUAGCAUGAGACGUUAUACAAUUAAUGUUGCAAUCAAGGAGGAACUACCAAGUGUGACAAUGGGAGAACUUCUAACAGAUCCUAAUGUUAGACCCAAAGAAGAUUUCAUUAUAAUUUCAUGGGAAUCAAGGAUGCCCCCUUAUAACUCAUUUGCUCGUCUUGUUACAAGUAAUGCUCAGGGCACACGUGAAGAUAAUGCCUUGCAAGGGAGGAAGCGACGAGGAGUGCCAAUGUAA